GACGAACGCUGGCGGCGUGCUUAACACAUGCAAGUCGAACGGAAAGGCCCUGCUUUUGUGGGGUGCUCGAGUGGCGAACGGGUGAGUAACACGUGAGUAACCUGCCCUUGACUUUGGGAUAACUUCAGGAAACUGGGGCUAAUACCGGAUAGGAGCUCCUGCUGCAUGGUGGGGGUUGGAAAGUUUCGGCGGUUGUGGAUGGACUCGCGGCUUAUCAGCUUGUUGGUGGGGUAGUGGCUUACCAAGGCUUUGACGGGUAGCCGGCCUGAGAGGGUGACCGGCCACAUUGGGACUGAGAUACGGCCCAGACUCCUACGGGAGGCAGCAGUGGGGAAUAUUGCACAAUGGGCAGAAGCCUGAUGCAGCAACGCCGCGUGCGGGAUGCCGGCCUUCGGGUUGUAAACCGCUUUCGCCUGUGACGAAGCGUGAGUGACGGUAAUGGGUAAAGAAGCACCGGCUAACUACGUG
rnacentral:rRNA from 1 species